rnacentral:rRNA from 1 species
UACAGAGGGUGCGAGCGUUAAUCGGAAUUACUGGGCGUAAAGCGCACGUAGGCGGCUUGGUAUGUCGGGUGUGAAAUCCCCGGGCUCAACCUGGGAACUGCAUCCGAAACUGCCUUGCUAGAGUAUGGGAGAGGGAAGUGGAAUUUCCGGUGUAGCGGUGAAAUGCGUAGAUAUCGGAAGGAACAUCAGUGGCGAAGGCGACUUCCUGGACCAAUACCGACGCUCAGGUGCGAAAGCGUGGGGAGCAAACAGG